rnacentral:rRNA from 1 species
UACGUAGGCAGCGAGCGUUGUUCGGAGUUACUGGGCGUAAAGGGUGUGUAGGCGGUUGUUUAAGUUUGGUGUGAAAUCUCCCGGCUCAACCGGGAGGGUGCGCCGAAUACUGAAUGACUUCGAGUGCGGGAGUGGUGAGUGGAAUUCCUGGUGUAGCGGUGAAAUGCGUAGAUAUCAGGAGGAACACCGGUGGUGUAGACGGCUCUCUGGACCGUAACUGACGCUGAGACACGAAAGCGUGGGUAGCAAACAGG